rfam:Schistosoma haematobium scaffold884_7, whole genome shotgun sequence.
UGCUGAGGAGUCCCACAAUAGGACGAAACGGCCGUCCAGUGC